rnacentral:rRNA from 1 species
CCUACGGGUGGCAGCAGUGAGGAAUAUUGGUCAAUGGACGAGAGUCUGAACCAGCCAAGUCGCGUGAAGGAUGACUGCCCUACGGGUUGUAAACUUCUUUUAUCUGGGAACAAAACACGGCACGCAUACCCCCUCGUAUGUACCCUAUGAAUAAGGCUCGGCCAACUCCGUUCCAGCAGCCGCGGUAAUACGGAGGAUUCGGGCGUUAUACGGAUUUAUUUGGGUUAAAGGGGGCGUAGGGCGGUUGGUAAGGCAGGUGUGAAAAGUUGGGGGUCAACCCCAAGAUUGCCGUUGAAACUGGCGGUCUUGAGUGCAAGAGAGGUAGGCGGAAUGCGUGGUGUAGCGGUGAAAUGCUUAGAUAUCACGAAGAACUCCGAUUGCGAAGGCAGCACACCGGAUUGCAACUGACGCUGAUGCACGAAAGUGUGGGUAUCGAACAGGAUUAGAUACCCGAGUAGUC